GACGGAGUGCUUGGUGGUGCGUGCCGUGGAGCCUCGUGUGAAGCAAAUGCUGCUUGCAUUAACGGCAUAUGUGUCUGUGCAACCGGAUAUAGCGCUCACAACGGCAUGUGCAAUAGAGAUGGGUUAGCUGGCGGCGCAUGUGUAAGAAACGUAUGUACCCUCGACCCUUAUGCUGUGUGUCUACAAGAUAGGUGUGUGUGUCGAUGUAUGUUCUAUCCACUAUUUGGUCUCUGUCCUCGACCAAGACCAGGGCGUGCCCCCCGUCGCCCACUUAAAAUCGGAAAAUAAUCGUCGAUUAGUGCG